rnacentral:rRNA from 1 species
AUGAUGGCUAUAUUUUAUGAUUUUUGUGAAAAGAUUUGUGAGCUUUUCAUGGAUGACUUCUCCGUCUAUGGAUCCUCUUUUGAUGAUUGUUUGAGCAACCUUGAUCGAGUUUUGAAGAGAUGCGAAGACACUAGUCUCGUCCUGAAUUGGGAAAAGUGUUACUUUAUGGUUAAUGAAGGCAUUGUCUUGGGGCACAAGAUCUUCGAGAGAGGUAUUGAAGUUGAUAAAGCCAAAGUUGAUGCUAUUGAAAAGAUACCAUGUCCCAAGGACAUUAAAGGUAUAAGAAGUUUCCUUGGUCACGCCGGUUUUUAUAGGAGGUUCAUUAAGGACUUUUCUAAAAUCUCUAGGCCUCUGACUAAUUUAUUGCAAAAAGAUAUUCCUUUUGUCUUUGAUGAUGAUUGUGUAGAAGCAUAUGAAACACUUAAGAAAGCUUUGAUCACUGCACCUAUUGUUCAGCCGCCUGAUUGGAAUUUACCUUUUCAAAUUAUGUGCGAUGCUAGUGAUUAUGCUGUAGGUGUUGUUUUAGGGCAAAGAGUCGAUAAGAUAUUGAAUGUUAUCCAGUAUGCUAGUAAGACUCUUGAUACUGGCUAG